UAGCGGCGAGCGAACGGGGAGCAGCCCAGAGCCUGAAUCAGUGUGUGUGUUAGUGGAAGCGUCUGGAAAGGCGUGCGAUACAGGGUGACAGCCCCGUACACAAAAAUGCACAUAUUGUGAGCUCGAUGAGUAGGGCGGGACACGUGGUAUCCUGUCUGAAUAUGGGGGGACCAUCCUCCAAGGCUAAAUACUCCUGACUGACCGAUAGUGAACCAGUACCGUGAGGGAAAGGCGAAAAGAACCCCGGCGAGGGGAGUGAAAAAGAACCUGAAACCGUGUACGUACAAGCAGUGGGAGCACAGAGCAAUCUGUGUGACUGCGUACCUUUUGUAUAAUGGGUCAGCGACUUAUAUUCUGUAGCAAGGUUAACCGAAUAGGGGAGCCGAAGGGAAACCGAGUCUUAACUGGGCGUUAAGUUGCAGGGUAUAGACCCGAAACCCGGUGAUCUAGCCAUGGGCAGGUUGAAGGUUGGGUAACACUAACUGGAGGACCGAACCGACUAAUGUUGAAAAAUUAGCGGAUGACUUGUGGCUGGGGGUGAAAGGCCAAUCAAACCGGGAGAUAGCUGGUUCUCCCCGAAAGCUAUUUAGGUAGCGCCUCGUGAAUUCAUCUCCGGGGGUAGAGCACUGUUUCGGCAAGGGGGUCAUCCCGACUUACCAACCCGAUGCAAACUGCGAAUACCGGAGAAUGUUAUCACGGGAGACACACGGCGGGUGCUAACGUCCGUCGUGAAGAGGGAAACAACCCAGACCGCCAGCUAAGGUCCCAAAGUCAUGGUUAAGUGGGAAACGAUGUGGGAAGGCCCAGACAGCCAGGAUGUUGGCUUAGAAGCAGCCAUCAUUUAAAGAAAGCGUAAUAGCUCACUGGUCGAGUCGGCCUGCGCGGAAGAUGUAACGGGGCUAAACCAUG
rnacentral:rRNA from 1 species